rnacentral:rRNA from 1 species
UACGUAGGGUGCAAGCGUUGUCCGGAAUUAUUGGGCGUAAAGAGCUCGUAGGCGGUUUGUCGCGUCUGCUGUGAAAACUCGGGGCUUAACCCCGGGCCUGCAGUGGGUACGGGCAGACUAGAGUGCGGUAGGGGAGACUGGAAUUCCUGGUGUAGCGGUGAAAUGCGCAGAUAUCGGGAGGAACACCUAUGGCGAAGGCAGCUUGCUGGGACGGUACUGACGCUGAGAAGCGAAAGCAUGGGGAGCGAACAGG